UGCGUAGGCGGCUCUUUAAGUCAGUGGUGAAAUCUUGCCGCUUAACGGUAAAAUUGCCAUUGAUACUGAAGAGCUUGAGUACAGUUGAGGUAAGCGGAAUGUGUAGUGUAGCGGUGAAAUGCUUAGAUAUUACACAGAACACCAAUUGCGAAGGCAGCUUACUAAACUGUUACUGACGCUGAUGCACGAAAGCGUGGGGAGCGAACAGGAUUAGAUACCCUGGUAGUCCACGCCGUAAACGAUGCUCACUCGCUGUUUGCGAUACACAGCAAGCGGCCAAGCGAAAGCAUUAAGUGAGCCCACCGUGGGGGAGUACGAUCGCAAGGUUGAA
rnacentral:rRNA from 1 species